rnacentral:rRNA from 1 species
GACGAACGCUGGCGGCGUGCUUAACACAUGCAAGUCGAACGGUAAGGCCCUUCGGGGUACACGAGUGGCGAACGGGUGAGUAACACGUGGGUGAUCUGCCCUGCACUUCGGGAUAAGCCUGGGAAACUGGGUCUAAUACCGGAUAGGACUCCGGACUGCAUGGUCUGGGGUGGAAAGCUUCUGCGGUGUGGGAUGGGCCCGCGGCCUAUCAGCUUGUUGGUGGGGUGAUGGCCUACCAAGGCGACGACGGGUAGCCGGCCUGAGAGGGUGACCGGCCACACUGGGACUGAGAUACGGCCCAGACUCCUACGGGAGGCAGCAGUGGGGAAUAUUGCACAAUGGGCGCAAGCCUGAUGCAGCGACGCCGCGUGAGGGAUGACGGCCUUCGGACUGUAAAACCCUGUCGUCAGGGACGAAGGUGGCAAGGUUAAUAACCUUGUUGCUUGACGGUACCUGGAGAGGAAGCCCCGGCUAACUCUGUGC